AUAAAAUCUAAUUCAAAAUAUUAACAAAAACUAUAACAGUAUCAUGGAUACUAAAAAAAACACUGGUGUUGGACAGGGAAGAGAUCAAGAAUGUGAACUGUUUGGGAGUGGGAGUGGAGGCAGGGUUGGGUGGGAAACCCACAGGACAGGGCAGACGGGGCAGGAUUGAGAAACAUUUCAAAACAUCGAGAAACAUUUGUCAGUGAGAAAUAAUUGGCAUGGUUACACUUACACUCAUAAUAUUGUCCAUUGUUUGGCAACUACCCGAAGAGAGAUCUUGUGUCUUGCCCACAACAAACCCUUAGUAUGCUGGUCUGGAGCAUGUGGAACCUACAUAAAGGUUGUACAGGAAUAAUCCUGCUUUGGCUGCAUACGUCACUUUUGGGUCAAGUUACACUCAGAUGAUCUCUCUUCGUUAAAUGACAUCACAUACCUGCUGUAACAAAGCAACAAUUUGACUUGCAAGCAAUGCCAGCUGCCAGGAGAGCUAAUGUGUCUUCUUGACCAAGACAACAG